GCGCUCUUGCCUUCGGGGGCGGGUCGCUGGGCCCCUGCGGUGGACAGACCGGUCUUUGCAGAGCAGGUUGUCAGAGUACAAGUCUUCCAAGAAGAUGGAGAGUUGCUCCCUUAAUAAAUUGUGGAUCUGGGAUGGAAAGAAUACUUUUGGAGAAAGAUACCGAGAUACAAAUACCGAGAAUGGAUCACAACAUGUUCUCAAGACUGUGCACCACGCAGCUGCUCUCAACCAAGUAAAAUUGCCCCUC